AGAGUUUGAUCCUGGCUCAGAUUGAACGCUGGCGGCAUGGCUAAAACAUGCAAGUCGAACGCGAAAUCCUGACUUGUCAGGAAAGUAGAGUGGCGAACCGGCGAGUAAUGCAUUCCUAACGUGCCCCAAGGUCGGGAAUAGCCCGGGGAAACCCGGAUUAAUGCCCGAUAACCCCGAUUGGUCGCAUGGCCGAUCGGGCAAAGGCUUGCUGCCUUGGGAUCGGGGAAUGUCCUAUCAGCUUGUUGGUGAGGUAACGGCUCACCAAGGCGAAGACGGGUAGCGGGUGUGAGAGCACGGCCCGCCGCAUCGGGACUGAGACACUGCCCGGACUCCUACGGGAGGCUGCAGUAACGAAUAUUCCGCAAUGCGCGAAAGCGUGACGGAGCAAUGCCGCGUGCGGGAUGAAGCCCUUCGGGGUGUAAACCGCUGUCAGGGGAUAGAAACCCAAUGAUCAUCCCCAGAGGAAGAGCCGGCUAACUCUGUGCCAGCAGCCGCGGUAAUACAGAGGGCUCGAGCGUUAAUCGGAAUCACUGGGCUUAAAGGGUGCGUAGGCGGGCCUGAAAGUGUCAUGUGAAAUCCCACGGCUUAACCGUGGAAUGGCGUGGCAAACUUCAGGUCUUGAGAUCGGUAGGGGGUGCCGGAACUCUAG
rnacentral:rRNA from 1 species